GAUGAACGCUAGCGGCAGGCUUAAUACAUGCAAGUCGAGGGGCAGCAGGUUCGUAGCAAUACGGAUGCUGGCGACCGGCAAACGGGUGCGGAACACGUACACACCCUUCCUUUGAGCGGGGAAUAGCCCAGAGAAAUUUGGAUUAAUACCCCAUAGUAUAGCGGAAAGGCCUCUUUUUGCUACUAAAGAUUUAUUACUUAAAGAUGGGUGUGCGGUUGAUUAGGUAGUUGGCGGGGUAAUGGCCCACCAAGCCGACGAUCAGUAACUGGUGUGAGGGCACGACAAGUCAGACGGGAAGUGAGACACGGGACCGACUCCGACGGGAGGCAGCAGUAAGGAAUAUUGGUGAAUCGACGAAAGUCUGAACCAGCCAUGCCGCGUGGAGGAUGAAGGUCCUCUGGAUUGUAAACUUCUUUUAUAUGGGACGAAAAAAGGGAGUUCUUUCACGUCUGACGGUACCAUAUGAAUAAGCACCGGCUAACUCCGUGCCAGCCGCCGCAGUAAUAC
rnacentral:rRNA from 1 species